GGACAACAGUUGGAAACGACUGCUAAUACCGCAUAAGCCCACAGCUCGGCAUCGAGCAGAGGGAAAAGGAGCAAUCCGCUUUGAGAUGGCCUCGCGUCCGAUUAGCUAGUUGGUGAGGUAACGGCCCACCAAGGCGACGAUCGGUAGCCGGACUGAGAGGUUGAACGGCCACAUUGGGACUGGGACACGGCCCAGACUCCUACGGGAGGCAGCAGUGGGGAAUAUUGCACAAUGGGGGAAACCCUGAUGCAGCGACGCCGCGUGGAGGAAGAAGGUCUUCGGAUUGUAAACUCCUGUUGUUGAGGAAGAUAAUGACGGUACUCAACAAGGAAGUGACGGCUAACUACGUGCCAGCAGCCGCGGUAAAACGUAGGUCACAAGCGUUGUCCGGAAUUACUGGGUGUAAAGGGAGCGCAGGCGGGAGAACAAGUUGGAAGUGAAAUCCAUGGGCUCAACCCAUGAACUGCUUUCAAAACUGUUUUUCUUGAGUAGUGCAGAGGUAGGCGGAAUUCCCGGUGUAGCGGUGGAAUGCGUAGAUAUCGGGAGGAACACCAGUGGCGAAGGCGGCCUACUGGGCACCAACUGACGCUGAGGCUCGAAAGUGUGGGUAGCAAACAGGAUUAGAUACCCUGGUAGUCCACACCGUAAACGAUGAUUACUAGGUGUUGGAGGAUUGACCCCUUCAGUGCCGCAG
rnacentral:rRNA from 1 species